UCCUCGUUAGUAUAGUGGUGAGUAUCCCCACUUGUCACCUGGGAGACUGGGGUUCAAUUCCCUGAUGAGGAG
rnacentral:tRNA from 1 species